rnacentral:rRNA from 1 species
GAUGAACGCUGGCGGCGUGCCUAAUACAUGCAAGUCGAGCGAACGGACGAGAAGCUUGCUUCUCUGAUGUUAGCGGCGGACGGGUGAGUAACACGUGGAUAACCUACCUAUAAGACUGGGAUAACUUCGGGAAACCGGAGCUAAUACCGGAUGAUAUUUUGAACCGCAUGGUUCAAAAGUGAAAGACGGUCUUGCUGUCACUUAUAGAUGGAUCCGCGCUGCAUUAGCUAGUUGGUAAGGUAACGGCUUACCAAGGCAACGAUGCAUAGCCGACCUGAGAGGGUGAUCGGCCACACUGGAACUGAGACUCGGUCCAGACUCCUACGGGAGGCAGCAGUAGGGAAUCUUCCGCAAUGGGCGAAAGCCUGACGGAGCAACGCCGCGUGAGUGAUGAAGGUCUUCGGAUCGUAAAACUCUGUUAUUAGGGAAGAACAUAUGUGUAAGUAACUGUGCACAUCUUGACGGUACCUAAUCAGAAAGCCACGGCUAACUACGUG